AUUGAACGCUGGCGGCAUGCUUUACACAUGCAAGUCGAACGGCAGCACGGACUUCGGUCUGGUGGCGAGUGGCGAACGGGUGAGUAAUACAUCGGAACGUGCCCAGUUGUGGGGGAUAACUACUCGAAAGAGUAGCUAAUACCGCAUGAGAACUGAGGUUGAAAGCAGGGGAUCGUAAGACCUUGCGCAACUGGAGCGGCCGAUGGGAGAUUAGGUAGUUGGUGGGAUAAAAGCUUACCAAGCCGAGGAUCUGUAGCUGGUCUGAGAGGACGACCAGCCACACUGGGACUGAGACACGGCCCAGACUCCUACGGGAGGCAGCAGUGGGGAAUUUUGGACAAUGGGCGAAAGCCUGAUCCAGCAAUGCCGCGUGCAGGAUGAAGGCCCUCGGGUUGUAAACUGCUUUUGUACGGAACGAAAAGCUUCGGGUUAAUACCCUGGAGUCAUGACGGUACCGUAAGAAUAAGCACCGGCUAACUACGUGCCAGCCGCCGCCGUAAUAC
rnacentral:rRNA from 1 species